AAACUCCAUGCCUUGGAAGAUAACCACCUCCAAGUUUUGAGCUGUACCUUGAUCCUUCACAAUUCUGUUGGUUGUGUUCUACAUUGUGGUGAGUAUCAGCUCGAGGACUACCAUAUUUGUAACCAUUUCUCUCUGGCAAAUUCUUGUCAUAUCCUAAUUGUCCAAACUGUACAUUCCCUUCCCUCGGUGGAUAUUGCUGUCUCUCAAAACGUUCUUGGUCACAAAAUGUUUGAUUUCUAUCCAUAUUACCAUAACCUUGAUCUACAUAACUGCUAUUGCUAUUUUUUCCACCUAAAAAUCCAUCAAAUUUUCCAUAUUCUUCACCAUCAAAACUUCCACGCCCUUUGUCUAAUUCGUAAGCUGCCCCACCAAAUUCGUUAAUCAGCUGCAAUCUCCUCUCAUUAUCAGUUGAAAACCUAGCUAAACUAGUCAACUUUUCAUUCGUAAAAGUACCCGAUGAAUCAUCAACUCUCAUUCUCUUCACUCCAACAUUGAAAGCACCAGGUGAAUCAUAAGUAGGUUUCAUAUUUCCAUACACAUCUGAGGGGCGGGGAUGAUGCUCGUAGCCAUCA
rnacentral:misc_RNA from 1 species